rnacentral:rRNA from 1 species
GACGAACGCUGGCGGCGUGCCUAAUACAUGCAAGUCGAGCGAAGCGGCGGUUGGGUGAGUACCGCGUGGUUAACCUGCCCUUCAGUCUGGGAUACUAUUUGGAAACAGAUGCUAAUACCGGAUACUAAAGGAUGGACCUGCGAUGCAUUAGCUAGUGGGUAAGGUAACGGCUUACCAAGGCGAUGAUGCAUAGCCGGGUUGAGAGAAUGAUCGGCCACAUUGGGACUGAGACACGGCCCAAACUCCUACGGGAGGCAGCAGUAGGGAAUCUUCCACAAUGGACGAAAGUCUGAUAGAGCAACGCCGCGUGAGUGAAGAAGGUUUUCGGAUCGUAAAGCUCUGUUGUUGGUGAAGCGGUAAUCAACCAGAAAGCCACGGCUAACUACGUGCCAGCAGCCGCGGUAAUAC